UACACAUGCAAGUCGAACGGUAACAGGUCUUUCGGGAUGCUGACGAGUGGCGAACGGGUGAGUAAUACAUCGGAACGUGCCCAGUAAUGGGGGAUAGCUCGGCGAAAGCCGGAUUAAUACCGCAUACGCCCUGAGGGGGAAAGUGGGGGACCGCAAGGCCUCACGUUAUUGGAGCGGCCGAUGGCUGAUUAGCUAGUUGGUAGGGUAAAGGCCUACCAAGGCGACGAUCAGUAGCUGGUCUGAGAGGACGAUCAGCCACACUGGGACUGAGACACGGCCCAGACUCCUACGGGAGGCAGCAGUGGGGAAUUUUGGACAAUGGGGGAAACCCUGAUCCAGCAAUGCCGCGUGUGCGAAGAAGGCCUUCGGGUUGUAAAGCACUUUUGUCAGGGAAGAAAUCCUUUGGGCUAAUACCCUAGGGGGAUGACGGUACCUGAAGAAUAAGCACCGGCUAACCACGUGCCAGCAGCCGCGGUAAUACGUAGGGUGCAAGCGUUAAUCGGAAUUACUGGGCGUAAAGCGUGCGCAGGCGGUUGUGUAAGACAGGUGUGAAAUCCCCGGGCUUAACCUGGGAAUUGCAUUUGUGACUGCACGACUAGAGUGUGUCAGAGGGGGGUGGAAUUCCACGUGUAGCAGUGAAAUGCGUAGAUAUGUGGAGGACACCAAUGGCGA
rnacentral:rRNA from 1 species